CUCUCUCUCUCUCUCUAUGGAUCGAUUCUCGACGGGUUCCUCCGACGAUUUGGCAUUCUCUUUCUUCAGAUUUGGUGUUCUUUAGUGCGAUUUUUUGUUGGAGACAGGAACCCCUUCGGCGGACGCUCGUCCGAGAGGAACCUGAAGCGCUCGGACCGUUGCUAUCAUCCGAGAGUUUCGGAUCUGAGGAGGAUCGUCGUCGUCCGAGAGUUUUAGAGGAGAUUCUGUAGGGCAGAGAUUGUUCGGUUUCGGAUUCUGUGGGACGUUUGCUGCUGCUUCUUUUAUAUUGGAUUUGCUGCUACUUCGUUUGUUUGCUGCUAUUUCGGAUUGUUCGGUUGAAUGGAUUGGGGGUCUGAUUGGAUUUUAUAUUAGAUUGGGUCUGUUUUUUUAUUAGAUUGUUCGGUUUUCGAAUUAGGUUUGUUUUAAGCCAAGUACCUAAUUGAUGCACUUACAUUGGCAAA